rnacentral:rRNA from 1 species
CCUACGGGAGGCAGCAGUGAGGAAUAUUGGUCAAUGGGCGGAAGCCUGAACCAGCCAAGUAGCGUGCAGGAUGACGGCCCUACGGGUUGUAAACUGCUUUUAUACGGGAAUAACGCGCCUUACGUUUAGGGCUUUGCAUGUACCGUAUGAAUAAGGACCGGCUAAUUCCGUGCCAGCAGCCGCGGUAAUACGGAAGGUCCGGCCGUUACCCGGAUUUUUUGGGUUGAAAGGGUGCGUAGGCGGCGCUUCAGGUCAGCGGUGAAAUACCGGGGUUCAACCCCGGGGCUGCCGUUGAAACCGGAGCGCUAGAAUUCCGAUGCCGUCGGAGGAAUGUGUGGUGUAGCGGUGAAAUGCAUAGAUAUCACACAGAACACCGAUUGCGAAGGCAUCUGACGAAUCGGAGAUUGACGCUGAUGCACGAAAGCGUGGGUAUCGAACAGGAUUAGAUACCCCAGUAGUC